rnacentral:rRNA from 1 species
UACGUAGGUAGCAAGCGUUGUCCGGAUUUACUGGGUGUAAAGGGCGUGUAGGCGGAGAUGCAAGUCAGGAGUGAAAUGCAAGGGCUCAACCCUUGAACUGCUUUUGAAACUGCAUCCCUUGAGUAUCGGAGAGGCAGGCGGAAUUCCGAGUGUAGCGGUGAAAUGCGUAGAUAUUCGGAGGAACACCAGUGGCGAAGGCGGCCUGCUGGACGGCAACUGACGCUGAGGCGCGAAAGCGUGGGGAGCAAAC